UACGUAGGGUGCAAGCGUUAAUCGGAAUUACUGGGCGUAAAGCGUGCGCAGGCGGCUUUGUAAGACAGAUGUGAAAUCCCCGGGCUCAACCUGGGAACUGCAUUUGUGACUGCAAAGCUGGAGUACGGCAGAGGGGGAUGGAAUUCCGCGUGUAGCAGUGAAAUGCGUAGAUAUGCGGAGGAACACCGAUGGCGAAGGCAAUCCCCUGGGCCUGUACUGACGCUCAUGCACGAAAGCGUGGGGAGCAAACAGG
rnacentral:rRNA from 1 species